GGCCCAGGAAAAAUACCCCUAUUAGAUUUUGCCUGUUGUCUUUUUGUUUUGUGCAUCAUCAUUGCAUCAUGCAUAUCAUACCAUGUCACUUUGGUUCUUAUCAAAAAUUUCCUUGGAUUUUAUUUGCCCUCUUUAUUUUAUAUGAUUGGUUUUUCUCUCUCUCUCUUCUCUCUUGUUCUACCUCUAUCUCACUUGAGAUGUUCCAAUCUAAAACCUAGUCAUUCUAUUCCUACACUUGACCACUCUCCAAAUGGUCAUGCCAAAUCUUUCUAGUAAAUAUGGGUUAAUAUUAUACCCUCUCCUUAAUCUCUUAUCUUGUAAUUAUUCAACAUAACAAUUAACUUUUGGUUUACUAAAAUACUUUGUUUGGGUUAAUCCAAACCAAUAGUGAAAUCAAAAUUAUUUACAAACCUUCCUCUUCCCAUUCCGAUUCAAAUUGGUUUUGGUUUUGGUUUGAAUAAAAACCAGAAAAGAAAAUGAAAUAAAUUGGAAAAGAAAGAAAAAUCAAAAUAGCAACCAGGCCCAGGAGCACCCGGCCUUCUUCUUUUUCCUGUCUUUGGUCAUGGUCGUCCCGUGAUUCUGUUGCCUCACAGCCGGAGCAUCUCCACCUGCUCCCUGUACUUUUCCCCUCUCCUCAAUCGAGCCCCAACCAGCCCUAGCUUUCCUCCUUCCUCUAGCCGCCGCCGUUUCUCUCUUCCACCUCUGUCGCAUCAUCACACAAAACUAUCCCAGUGAAGAUUUCAGUUUUCAUCCGUAGCAUCAAAGAAAACUGCCGGAGAUUGCCGUCCUUGCCGUUGUUGUUCGCCGCUGUUCGCUGCGCCGAGCAUGGGGAUGGAGCCGCCGUGGUGCCCUCUUCCUCCUCGCUGAGUCCUCGAAGCAGGAGCAGCUCCGGGACGUCUUCCACAACAACGCCGCCGCCGUCGCCGUCGUCGCGGGCGCUGUCGAGUUCAUCGUCCGUCUGACCGUCAUCUGCUUCCUCGAUUUUUUUUUACUCCGCCAUCGCAGUCCCAGCUGGCAUUUGCUUCUUCCCGGAUAGGAUCACGAAGUGGUGCGGUGAGAUACGCCAAGUUCUUCGGAUGUUCCUCGGCAAGCUUUAACAGGAAAGCAUUUCCCCUAUACUCCUGCCCCUGCAGAAGUCGCACACCUAUUUUAUUUUGCUUUCUCCCUUAUGCUAUCCUUGAGUUGCGUUCUUGUCACGUGUCCCUUCCACUUGUUACCCCAAGCAGCCUAUAUUGCCUCCACCAACCACCUACAGCUAUUGUUUGGUUAUCGGGUCUGCCUUGCGAGUCGUAGUGCAUGCUAGUGCUGUUAUAUCUCGUUACCGUUACCGCUAUCUUAUCGGUUAUCUGUUGGGAAUCAUGACACAUGCUACAUGGUUAUAUCUGUUGAGGGAAUCAUGGUUACUUGUUAAUAGUUGUUAGCGGAGGCAUCGGUGGGUCAGCUGAUCGUUUUGUGACGGCUCACUCGUGUUUCUUGAUAAAUUAGGACCCCGAGUUCUUGUUAUCUGUUCCGAGACUGAGCGCUCUAACCACACGUGGGUAUGUUUCUGGGUCUCCCCUCGACCACUGCCCGAAUCUACAGCUUUGUCCAGUGGCCACAACUAGUUUAUAUGUUUUCAUUUGGUUAUUGCGUGCAUGCCAGCUUGUUACUUAUUUACUUUGGGAAGCCCCUAGAUGCCUUGUAUCCCUUGUUUCUGGUAUGCACGUAUAGGUUCGCGGCCUGCGCGUUUAUCGUAUGCUGAAGCGGGUCAUUCGCCCCAGUGUGUGUUCUGACCCUCGGAAGCCGUUCUCGCAAACAGCUAGGUCCGUCUCGGAGAUUCGGCAGGACUUCGAUUCGGGUUCAACUUAAUUAGGUGGCUUCCUGGACAUUGUUGUCGUGAAGAAGAGUGCGAGUCGUGACACUCCACCUUUUUGCCAUUGCCUUUGGAGUUGAUCGUGCGUGUGGGCACAUUUGGGCACCCCUGCAGGGUUACAUCUUAUCGAUAAGCCGUGUCCGCGGUUAUGGACGACUUGGAGCUGUAUGACUCGAUCAUAGACAACUUACACAUGUUGUUUAUUAAUAAUAACUUGCGUAGUAAGUUAGUACAACUUCAAUAAUAAAUGGUUAAAACUUGACAAUCGUGUGAGUGCCUUUAUAAGUACUUCUUGGCGAAGGGGGAACACAUCGGCUGUGUUAUGUUUGCAGAGUAUAGAACUGUUAGUUUAUGCGCUCUCUCACCUUCCCUGUUUAGACGAAUGUUGUAGAGUGUCUCUAUAGGUUUUUAGUGCUUGCGCGCUGCCGCUUAACCCCACCAUAUUUCCUAUGACGUUCCUCUUGCGUCAUCUAAGUCCCCUGCGUGCCUCAAGUACAAAGGACGAUUGGUUGACGAAUGCUUAUACGUCUUGAAGUCUUGUUAAGUACGAACCCGUACUUAUUGCUGCUUCUACGGGAUAUAACCGGGCAGGUAUGAAGAUAUGUUCGAUGAAGACGAUGUUAGCGAGGGUACCCUUCCGGCUUGGCCUGGGCAGGGUUAUGGACGCCACUGGUUAUCUUCAGGACUCUUAGUCCAAUUUGUAUCUUGUCCGUACUCGGAUGUAUUUGACCUUCUGUAUGAUUUGGAUCUUUGUAUGUACCUAUUUGUAUCUUGACUCGUUGGAGUCGUUGUUGUAAUAUAUAUGUUUCUUGUGGGCUCUAUUGUAA